AUUGAACGCUGGCGGCAGGCCUAACACAUGCAAGUCGAGCGAGCGGCGGACGGGUGAGUAAUGUCUGGGAAACUGCCCGAUGGAGGGGGAUAACUAUUGGAAAAGGUAGCUAAUACCGCACACCAUCAGAUGUGACCAGAUGGGAUUUGCUAGUUGGUGGGGUAAAGGCUUACCAAGGUGACGAUCCGUACCUGGUCUGAGAGGAUGAUCAGUAACACUGGGACUGAGACACGGUCCAGACUCCUACGGGAGGCAGCAGUGGGGAAUAUUGGACAAUGGGCGAAAGCCUGAUCCAGCCAUGCCGCGUGUGUGAAGAAGGUCUUCGGAUUGUAAAGCACUUUAAGUUGGGAGGCGUUACCAACAGAAGAAGCACCGGCUAACUCCGUGCCAGCCGCCGCGGUAAUAC
rnacentral:rRNA from 1 species